UACGUAGGUGGCAAGCGUUGUCCGGAUUUACUGGGUGUAAAGGGCGUGUAGCCGGGCUUACAAGUCAGAUGUGAAAUCCGGGGGCUCAACCCCCGAACUGCAUUUGAAACUGUAGGUCUUGAGUAUCGGAGAGGCAGGCGGAAUUCCCAGUGUAGCGGUGAAAUGCGUAGAUAUUAGGAGGAACACCAGUGGCGAAGGCGGCCUGCUGGACGACAACUGACGGUGAGGCGCGAAAGCGUGGGGAGCAAACAGG
rnacentral:rRNA from 1 species